rnacentral:sRNA from 1 species
ACCUGAUGCCCUUUCUCCUCAACCAGUGUGGAUCCCUUCUCUAUUACCUCACCUUGGCAUCGACAGAUCUGACCCUGGCUGUGCCCAUCUGUAACUCUCUGGCCAUCAUCUUCACACUGAUUGUUGGGAAGGCCCUUGGAGAAGAUAUUGGUGGAAAACGUAAGUCAGGCUACUGCGAGUGUGGGACGCAACUCUGUGGAUCUCGACAUACCUGUGUUAGUUCCUUCCCAGAACCCAUCUCCCCAGAGUGGGUGAGGACACGGCCUUUUCCCAUCCUGCCCUUUCCUCUGCAGCUGUUUUGCUUCCUUGUGGCCAUCAGAGUUCCCUUCCCCUGGACAGUCUGGGGAAAGACAGAGGCUGGGGUGGGAUUCAGGACCAGACCCCAUCUGAGCCCUUCCUCCAGCCCUGUACCAGCUCCUACUGGCAUGGCUGAGCUCAGACCCCCUUGAUUUCUGCCUAUUAUCCCAGGAGCAGUUGCUGGCAUGGUGCUCACCGUGAUAGGAAUUUCACUCUGCAUCACAAGCUCAGUGAGUAAGACCCAGGGGCAACAGUCUACCCUUUGAGUGGGCCGAACCCACCUCCAGCUCUGCUGCCUCCAGGAAGCCCCUGGGCCAUGAAGUGCUGGCAGUGAGCGGAUGGACCUAGCACUUCCCCUCUCUGGCCUUAGCUUCCUCCUCUCUUAUGGGGAUAACAGCUACCUCAUGGAUCACAAUAAGAGAACAAGAGUGAAAGAGUUUUGUAACCUUCAAGUGCUGUUCAGCUGCGGGGAUUUAGCACAGGAGACUCUACGCUCACCCUCAGCAACCUUUCUGCCCCAGCAGCUCUCUUCCUGCUGACAUCUCAGGCCCCCAGCCCAGCCACCAUUACUGUGGCCUGAUCUGGACUAUCACAGUGGCAGGUUCCAUGGACUGCAGAACUCCAGCUGCAUGGAAAGGGCCAGCUGCAGACUUUGAGCCAGAAAUGCAAACGGGAGGCCUCUGGGGCUCAGUCAGAGCGCUUUGGCUGAAUGAGGUGUGGAACCGAGGGGAAGAAGGUGCGUCGGAGUGGCAGAUGCAGGAAAUGAGCUGUCUAUUAGCCUUGCCUGCCCCACCCAUGAGGUAGGCAGAAAUCCUCACUGCCAGCUCCUCUUAAACAGGUAGAGAGCUGUGAGCCCCAGCCCCACCUGACUCCAGCACACAGCACACCUGGCGAGUAGUAGCUGUCAAUAAAUCUGUGGUAAACAGACGGAGAUUAGUAAGUAUUCUUUUAUUGUGACAAACUCGCUCCCCCGUUUGUGGCCUGUCUCCCAGGCUCAGUCAGCUACUUCUUUCUCUGGCCAGAGAAUCCCAUAAGGAAAUAGCCCCCACAGCCAGGGCUGCUCUGCUCAGAGGCAGGGAAGGCUGGGCUGUGGGUUUAGGAGCAGGAGAACAGGAAGGGCUGAGGAGGCCGCAGUGUACCCUGUGAGCCCAGCGGAGGUGCUGGCUCCUGAGGAACAAGCUGCUGGAGGCUGAGGACAAAAGGUGGCCAGAGUAGUGGUCCCCAGUUGCCCUCUGGAGCUGCUGGCUCUCAAGAUGGCAGAGCUGGGGCUGAGGCUGAGAUAGCAGCCCCAGCCCCAGGCUGGUUUUCCAGGGACAAGGCCUCUUCCACUAUCUGUGCUGCCCUCUGGAGGAGGUGGAAGGCCAUACAGAAUGGAGCCGUGAGUAUGGUCAGCCUCCAGCUCUCAGCCAGGAGGUCCCCAACCCCAAGGAAGGAAGAAACUGGAAAUUAGGAACUGCUUCCUCAUUUAACAAGCUUACCUGAUCCAAGGGCUCCUCUGUCUGGGUGUCUUCAUCAUCUGCUACUUCCAGGGCCCCCGCUGUCUCCUUCCUUGGGUGGGGAGCUCCGUGUACUCCUAUAACUCCUAAAGAGGGGAGGCAGCAUUGGGUGAUGCCCAGGCUGAAGAGCCCUCAGCAUUCCUGCCCUGGACCUUCAUGCUAGCCCCUUUCCCUCCCCUGAACCUGGUUCUGCAUUCCCCACCACCUCCCAGGAUGGCAAGGAAGUGAGAGGUAGGCCUUUGGUCCCACCCCCAUCCCCUCUAGAUCCCACCCCUGAAGUCUCAUCGCUUUAAGCACUGCCCUUUCCAGGCGCUUCUUUUCGUGUGAUGAGGCCCUGUGAAGAAGGGACAGGAUAUACAGAUGGGGGCAGCUGGAGACAGUUAUUAUGAGUGCCGGUUUUGUGUCUGAGCAUUCUGCUCCCAUGGACAUCCCCAACAACAGCAGGGACCAACCCAUGUCACUGUCAAAGGGCAGCUGAGAAGGGCCUGAGCCCCAGGGACCCCUCACCUGAUGGGAAUGAGAGUGUGGGGAGCUUGCUUCUUGGCUGAAUGGUCUGCUGGGGUCUGGCAUAGAAAGCAGAUGGCUUAAUUCGGUCUGGUUCCUUUGGAGAGGGCUGGGUUACCUGGGCCCUGUGGCCUUGGGCCUAGAGAAGGGACACUGGGCUUGGACCCUGAUUGCUGGCCAUUCUUACCUUUCCUACUCCCCAGUUCAGGCUUCAGAGAGCCCCUGACACCUGCAGGAACAUGGCAGAGGAGAUGCUGUCUGUCUUCACAAACUACGUCCUCCCUCCUUGCUGCCUCUUCCCACCAGCCUGACUUAUCCAGGGACGGAGCAGUAGGUGCCUGGCACUCCUCGAUGCGCAGUGAAACCAGACUGUGCUUCCCCACCCCCACUGCCAUGCCCCAUGCUCACUGGCUAAUUUCUUGGGAGGGCUUAGACCUGGAUAAUAUAACUUCCCUUGGACCCUG